rnacentral:rRNA from 1 species
AUUGAACGCUGGCGGCAGGCCUAACACAUGCAAGUCGAGCGAGUGGCGGACGGGUGAGUAAUGUAUGGGAACCUGCCCGCUGGAGGGGGAUAACUAAUGGAAACGGUAGCUAAUACCGCGCACCCUCGGCUGUGCCCAGAUGGGAUUAGCUUGUAGGUGGGGUAACGGCUCACCUAGCAGAUGAUCCAUAGCUGGUCUGAGAGGAUGAACAGUCACACUGGAACUGAGACACGGUCCAGACUCCUACGUGAGGCAGCAGUGGGGAAUAUUGGACAAUGGGCGAAAGCCUGAUGCAGCCAUGCCGCGUGUGUGAAGAAGGUCUUCGGGUUGUAAAGCACUUUAAGUUGGGAGGCGUUACCAACAGAAUAAGCACCGGCUAACUCCGUGCCAGCAGCCGCGGUAAUAC